UACGUAGGGCCCAAGCGUUGUUCGGAUUUACUGGGCGUAAAGGGCGCGUAGGCGGCAACUCAAGUCAGCUGUGAAAUCUCCGGGCUUAACUCGGAACGGUCAGCUGAUACUGUUUUGCUAGAGUGCAGAAGGGGAAUCGGAAUUCUUGGUGUAGCGGUGAAAUGCGUAGAUAUCAAGAGGAACACCUGAGGUGAAGACGGGUUGCUGGGCUGACACUGACGCUGAGGCGCGAAAGCCAGGGGAGCAAACGGG
rnacentral:rRNA from 1 species